rnacentral:misc_RNA from 1 species
UGGUUCUGGCAUCGAUGAAGAACGCAGCGAAAUGCGAUAAGUAAUGUGAAUUGCAGAAUUCAGUGAAUCAUCGAAUCUUUGAACGCACAUUGCGCCCGCCAGUAUUCUGGCGGGCAUGCCUGUUCGAGCGUCAUUUCAACCCUCAGGCCCUGGUGCCUGGCGUCGGGGCUGUUCCCGCGAGGGAAGCCCUCAGAAACAUUGGCGGACCCGCGCAGGCUCUGAGCGAAGUAGUAAAAUUCUCGCCCGGGAGCCUCGCGUGCGGUGUAGCCGGCCCCCACGGGCCCGGUGUAUGCGCAAACUCGGCGUAUAUAUAAGGUUGACCUCGGAUCAGGUAGGAAUACCCGCUGA